GGACAAUCCGCGUGAGGGAGCAAGGCUUUUGGGUUGUAAACCUCUUUUCUCAAGGAAGAAGUACUGACGGUACUUGAGGAAUCAGCAUCGGCUAACUCCGUGCCAGCAGCCGCGGUAAUACGGAGGAUGCAAGCGUUAUCCGGAAUUAUUGGGCGUAAAGCGUCCGCAGGUGGUGCAUCAAGUCUGCUGUCAAAGACCAGGGCUUAACCCCGGGAAGGCAGUGGAAACUGGUGGACUAGAGUACGGUAGGGGUAGAGGGAAUUCCCAGUGUAGCGGUGAAAUGCGUAGAGAUUGGGAAGAACACCAGUGGCGAAGGCGCUCUACUGGACCUGUGCUGACACUCAGGGACGAAAGCUAGGGGAGCGAAAGGGAUUAGAUACCCCUGUAGUC
rnacentral:rRNA from 1 species